CCCUUAGAUGUCCUGGGCUGCACGCGCGCUACACUGAUGUGUCCAGUAAGCACCUAACCUCUUCCGAAAGGAACGGGUAACCUUUGCAAAGCACAUCGUGAUGGGGAUAGAUUAUUGCAAUUAUUAGUCUUGAACUAGGAAUUCCUAGUAAGCACAAGUCAUCAGCUUGUGUUGAUUACGUCCCUGCCCUUUGUACGCACCGCCCGUCGCUCCUACCGAUUGAAUGUUCCGGUGAGCUCUUCGGACUGCGCGGUCUGCAGUUUCUGCGUUCCGUGCGGAAAGUUGCGCAAACCUUAACAUUUAGAGGAAGGAGAAGUCGUAACA
rnacentral:rRNA from 1 species